UUUGGACCAAACGGAAAUCUGUGUGCAAUUUGCCUUGCAUUCCUGCAAUUUCUUCCUACUCUCAGAAUUGUAUUAUUUCUGAAAUUUUUAUUCUUAUUUUCUGUUAGAGUACUCUUGAUACUCCUUUGGCAAUGGGGGCAUUGGCUUCUUGUUUGUCAAUCUGCUUUCUUAUCACUUUCUUCAAGUGGAGUGGUCCAGAUUCUACCAUUACUUUUGGGAAUUCAAUUUAUUCUGCAAAUGGGAAUCCUUGGCGAGGUAGAGGACGAGCAAAUGUAAGAUAAAAUCGUGCUGAAUUUCUCAGCAGGUCAGGGAUGGUGGCUUCACGGGGAACACUGUGGAACCGCCCAAGGAGAUCUUCUGGUUGGUCUGACUCUCCUGUUAAAGGUACGAUAUCUCCAACCACUGGGAGGGUGACGAGAAAUCAACACGAUUACUAUUCAACAUUCCAUAGGUCACCCAAUAGAAGUUUUCAAAAAAAAAAAAGUGGGAGAAUUUCACCCAGGAAUCAACCCUUCAUGCUGUGGCUGAGUUGGCAUCCUCUCCAAAGUUCAUUGAUUGGAUUACUAAGCAUGCUGACAGUAUACAACUCCUUCCAGAUGAUAGUUUGGAUAACACAAUUAUAAGUGGCUCAGAUUCCACAGAUGAGUAUCUUGUAGAAAGUGGCGAUCGAUUUAGUUUGUUCAAAUGGUAGCUGCGACCUUAGAGUAGGAAAUUAGUUACUUGUAGCAGUACAAUGAGGUAGAGGCUAGGAAUAGUGCUCAUUUAAUUUUUCUUUCUUUGUUUUAGGUUUACUUUUAAUACAUCAUAUUAUGUCAUUAAGCAAUUGUGGCAAAUCUUUUGAAAUAUUCUAAUCAUGUCAUAGUGCCUGCUC